rnacentral:lncRNA from 1 species
GCCCUGAGCUCCCGGAGCCCUGGUGCUCCAUCUGAGAGCAGCCCGCUGGUCCUCCUGCCUCCUCCCCCCCCCCGCCGAUAUCCAAACUCAGUCCGUCAGUCGGGAGGAUGGAAAAGAGAAAAAAAAAAAAAGAUGAGAGAGGAAUGUGACGUAGAAGUUUUAAUUACCGGGAAAAGUAAAGUUAUAUAGGACCAAGCGGCUUCCCGUGCGUCUGCGUCCCCCCCAGCCGCUGGACACGCUCUGCGGUGUCAGGUACCGGAGUUCAGGCGCACCGGGGAGAGGGAGAGCCGCGUCAAGCCAGCCGGAGACAGCACCGGAGAUACUCGGCUUUUACCUUCACAUUAAGACAGCCCAAUCCCGGAAGCUACACUCUACAAUCUACUGUCGCCUUGAUAAAUACUCAUAAUAAUUUGAUAAACAUCUGUUAGCUUACCUCAUCGGCUAACCUAAGUCACGUAAUACUGCAAACAAUUUUCGCAACACUUUAAGCUAGUUUUAGAAACUGCCAAGAUUUUCUAGCUAACGUUCCUCAAUUAAUGAUAUGUUAUACAUCUCUAUUCUUGCCUUUUUUUUUUCUAAAUCUCAGCUUUCAUCAAAUUAGUAUUAAUGAGAAAACAUAGCAAUUUAGUAACUUUUAAGAACAAAUAAGAAAGGUCUCUCUUAAAAAAAAUGGCUGCCGGAAACAAAACCGUUAGGAGGAGCAGAGGACAGGACUUUGUUUCCUUGGCAACCAAGAAAUUAGCUGCGGAGGCUACUCAACCACAGCAAUGUCUGUCACCCCCCAAAAAACAACGAUUUGUCGGUGUCACUCGACUGUGGAACCGCCCCAUGUUACAGGCUAAUGGACAUGGAAGUACUAAUGGCCCAUACUGUGAUUUAUAA